GACAGAGGUGGCGAGCGUUGUUCGGAUUUAUUGGGCGUAAAGCGUCCGCAGACGGUUCGAUGCGUCCCGCGUCAAAUGUACCGGCUCAACCGGUACACCGCGCGGGAAACGGCCGAGCUCGAGACUGGGAGAGGCAAGCGGAAUUGCCGGUGUAGUAGUAAAUGCGUUAAUAUCGGCAAGAACACCAAUUGCGAAAGCAGCUUGCUAGAACAGUUCUGACGUUCAUGGACGAAAGCGU
rnacentral:rRNA from 1 species